CUGUACUGGCUGGAGUUUCAGAACUUGCAGGCACUUUACUAGCUCAAAGUCAACAACUGAGACCCGACGUUUGGUAUUAACUUGAAUAUUUCAAGUCAUUUCUCGAUCCUAGAAUAUUAUAUUAAAUCUAAAUCUCAAGAAAAUGUAAGAAUGCGGUUUGUUGUAGUGCUUCUGCUUGUCGGAGCUCAUCUUGCCUUUGCUGGAAAACACUCUCUGAAAUACUUCUACACUGGUGUGUCUGGAGACAUUGACUUCCCAGAGUUCACUUCAGUUGGUUUGGUUCAUGAUGAGCAGUUUAUGUACUUUGACAGCAACACAAUGAAAGCUGUGCCAAAGACAGAGUGGAUCAGACAGAAUGAGGGAGCUGAUUACUGGACCAGAGAGACUCAGACUGAUAUUAAUCAGCAUCGGCUCUUCAAAAACAACAUCCAGGUCGCAAAGGGACGCUUCAACCAGUCAACAGGUGUGCACACAUACCAGCUGAUGUACGGCUGUGAGUGGGACGAUCAGACUGGAGAAACAAAUGGGUUCCGUGAGUUUGGUUAUGAUGGAGAGGACUUUCUGUCUCUGGAUUUUAAGGAGAUGAGAUAUAUUUCUCCAGUGCAGCAAGGAUUCCCCACUGCACGGAAGUGGAACAAUGACAGAGCUGGUCUUGAGAGAGACAGACAUUACUUCAGCUCUGAGUGCAUUGAGUGGCUGCAGAAGUAUCUGCAGUAUGGAAAGAGCAGCCUGAAGAAAACAGUCUCUCCUCAGGUGUCUCUGCUGCAGAAGUCUUCCUCGUCUUCAGUCUCGUGUCAUGCUACAGGUUUUUACCCCAGUGGACUAACAAUCACCUGGAUGAGAAAUGGACAAGAGCUUCAUGAGGAUGUGGAUCUCAGUGAACUUCUUCCCAAUGAGGACGGGACCUUUCAGAGGACGAGCACCAUCAGAGUUACACCUGAUGAGUGGAAGAAGAACCAGCACAGCUAUGUGGUGAAGCACCAGAGCGGAACCAUAACAGUAGAUGAGAUCAGGACAAACAAUGAACAGGAGAUUCUGUGCCCAUCGGCAUCAUUGUUGGUGCUGCUGCUGCUGUCGCCUUGUUGAUUAUCAUUGGUGUCGCUGGAUAUAUGGUGUAUCAGAAGAAAAAAGGCUCUGAUGAUGGCUCAGACAGCUCAGCUCAUACAGAUCCACAUAAUAAAAAUGAUACCAGACAUGUGGGAAAUAUUAUAUAAAGGAUGCUUACGUCGCUCUCCUUCUUCCUUUCAAAACUGCAUAUAAACAAAGACAAAAACAACACAGGAUCAUAGAUUUUUGCAAGAAGAUAUACUGUAUUUUUGUGCCUCCGCCGACCCUACUCAUAUUCAUCAAUAAUUUCACUCUACUUAACAAAUUGUUUGGCCAUUCUUUUAUCACUUUGUAUUUGGCAACAAUGAUUUGUUCUCACGUCAAGCGAAAUCGGCCAGCAGGCAAGUAAAUCGUGAACAAACGCAUGAAGCGGACAAGAUGGAGGAGUCCCUUGUCACCAUGAUCGCAUCAGCCACGGAGAAGCAACAGUCGUUUAUUGAAUCACAGUUUAAAACUCUUCAAGACAGACGGGACAUCAUUCAGAAGGAGCUUUCCAGCUGUUCUAGCAGCGUAAGAGAAUUACGUGAUAGAUACUCCAUCCUGAGCAGCCGAGUUAGUAAAACGGAGAAAACCUGCCACAGGAGCUGCUGAAACAGUUCUACUCCGCCAUCAUUGAAUCUGUCCUCUGCACUUCAAUAACUGUCUGGUUCAGCUCAGCUACCAAAUCUGACCUCACAAGACUACGGAGGGUAGUCCGGACUGCUGAGCGAAUCAUUGGUACAACCCUCCCCACUCUCCAAGAACUGUACUCAUCCAGAGUGAGCAGAAGGGCUGGUAAAAUCACUCUGGACCCCUCACAUCCAGCACACUCCCUCUUUGAACUGAUGCCGUCUGGUCGAUGCUACAGAGCUCUGCGCACCAGAACGACCAGCACAGGAACAGUUUCUUCUCUCAGGCAAUCCAUCUCAUGAACACUUGACAAUAAACGUGGAACACAUAACACUAUUAUACAUUAUUUAUUCACCACAUAUACUUAUUUUUAUUUUACUUUUUUUCAUUUCAAAUUUGCACAUAUCAGACCUGUACACACACAAUUGUCUAUAUUAUAUAUUGUGUUUUUUUUACUGUUUUGUACAUUUGCCUAUUUGUAUAUUAUUCUUUUAUUAUCUCUGUCCUGUCUUGUCGCUGUCAUUCUGUUGCACUGUGGAGCUUCUGUCACUAUAACAAAUUCCUUGUAUGUGUAAACAUACCUGGCCAAUAAAGCUCAUUCUGAUUCUGA